ensembl:lncRNA
GAAAAGUUUGGUUAUUACCAGCAAUUAAAUAGUCAAAAAUAAAGAAGAGAACCCCAUAUCACUGCUAAGCAGCCAGACACCAAUUAGAUGCAUUGCUUUUCAGGAUCACCAUUCACAUCACUUUACCCAGGUUUCAACCUACGCUGUGAAGCAACAUUUCAAAGACAAUUAAAACAUCAUAAGCAAUCAUGUGUGAAUACUUCUGAACACAGCUACUAAAUAAGAAACAAUGACAGAUCAGCAAAGGGAGAAAUCAUAGGGUUUAAUCUAACCCUUAAUGGGUGUUUAUUAUGCAAAUGAUUAUCCCAAUUUAGAACUAGCCACUUUUUACAGACUGGAACUAUAUCACAGCUUUUUCCAUGCUGAAUUCAAGGCUCCGUGGAGAUGGUGUUCAACAAGUUUAUGGGCAGUGAAUACAGAACCGAGACUGACCAUUCCAUGUCCACGUGGACAGAAAGCCACUGGUACAUGCCAACAACUGGUUAGCACCAGAGCCCGGAAGUGGAAGAGUUUCACCUGGCCUCACAACUGCUGCAGAUCUGACAGAAGUAUUUAGAAAAGCGCUGCCUUGAGGGAGAAGAGUGGCUGCCUCCGAGCUGACCAAAGGAGCCCAGGUCUUGUGGGAUGCUGGCAAUGGGCUCAAGCAGCACAGAUGAGAAGAGCUCCUCCCACUGAAAUCCUGCAGGACCCUUCUGCAACCUCAGUGCAUUGCUGUCACAGCAGCAAGGCUUCAGCAUGGAGACCCUGAUUUACAUCCACCCCUGGGUGCCAGCUGCUGUGCGCACGGGUGUCUUACAC